rnacentral:rRNA from 1 species
UACAGAGGUCUCGAGCGUUAGACGGAAUCACUGGGCUUAAAGCGUGUGUAGGCGGACUUCUAAGUACCUUGUGAAAUCCCACGGCUCACCCGUGGAACUGCUUGGUAUACUGGUUGUCUUGAGCCUUCUAGGGGCGAGUGGAACAAAUGGUGGAGCGGUGAAAUGCGUAGAUAUCAUUUGGAACGCCAAUGGUGAAAACAACUCGCUGGGGAAGUGCUGACGCUGAGACACGAAAGCCAGGGGAGCGAACGGG